rnacentral:rRNA from 1 species
GUGGGGAAUCUUCCGCAAUGGACGAAAGUCUGACGGAGCAACGCCGCGUGAGUGAAGAAGGUUUUCGGAUCGUAAAGCUCUUUCGUUAGGGACGAACGUGCUCUUUGUGAAUAAUGAGGAGUAAUGACGGUACCUAAAUAAGAAGCCACGGCUAACUACGUGCCAGCAGCCUCGGUAAUACGUAGGUGGCAAGCGUUGUCCGGAAUUAUUGGGCGUAAAGCGCGCGCAGGCGGGAUAUCAAGUCUGUCUUAAAAGUGCGAGGCUCAACCUCGUGAGGGGACAGAAACUGGUAUUCUUGAGUGUCGGAGAGGAAAGUGGAAUUCCAAGUGUAGCGGUGAAAUGCGUAGAGAUUUGGAAGAACACCAGUGGCGAAGGCGACUUUCUGGACGAUGUCUGACGCUGAGGCGCGAAAGCUAGGGGAGCGAACGGGAUUAGAUACCCGUGUAGUCC